GAAGAAGAAAAUUAGCCGGGUGCAGUGGCGGGCGUCUGUAGUCCCAGCUACUCAGGAGGCUGAGGCAGGAGAAUGGCGUGAACCGAGAAGGCGGAGCUUGCAGUGAGCUGAGAUCGCGCCGCUGCACUCCAGCCUGGCUGACUGAGCCAGACUCCGUCUCCAAAAAAAAAAAAAGAAAAUGGGUCUGCCACUCCAAAGAAAACAGCUAACAGCAUUUGUUGCCAAUGUUACAAUUCGAACUUUCAAGCAUAUUUCAGAAUUUUGGGUCCUCUUUGAAUUCCAGCACGAUGCAUCAAACCAUACCAUGGCAUGGCUAGGACCCAACCCAGUACCAGAAAUGAAGAAAAGGACCCUACAGGACCCGCAUCCCCAUGCUGAAAAAGACAACUCAAGAGGCUGAACAAAUCCUGCUCCAGACACACACAUCAUUCACUCCAGGAUUCAAAGCUGGAAUACGAGCAGUGACCAGCAUGCCUGACAGGCCUGUUGCUACACACAUCUGUACUCUUCAAUCAACAAAGCCUGAUGCAAAAUAACAGAAAAGGGGGAGAUACAAGAGUUCAGUCAGGGUGGUGGGAAAAAUUGUAAAAUAAACACAAACCUUAUUAGAAGGUCAGUAGGUUUUGUAAAAGCCUUAGGAUAGCCGGGCGCGGUGGCUCACGCCUGUAAUCCCAGCACUUUGGGAGGCCGAGACGGGCGGAU
rnacentral:lncRNA from 10 species